AUUGAACGCUGGCGGCAUGCCUUACACAUGCAAGUCGAACGGUAACAGGUCUUCGGAUGCUGACGAGUGGCGAACGGGUGAGUAAUACAUCGGAACGUGCCUAGUAGUGGGGGAUAACUACUCGAAAGAGUGGCUAAUACCGCAUGAGAUCUACGGAUGAAAGCAGGGGAUCGCAAGACCUUGUGCUACUAGAGCGGCCGAUGGCAGAUUAGGUAGUUGGUGGGAUAAAAGCUUACCAAGCCGACGAUCUGUAGCUGGUCUGAGAGGACGAUCAGCCACAAUGGGACCGAGACACGGCCCAGACUCCUACGGGAGGCAGCAGUGGGGAAGUUUGGACAAUGGGCGCAAGCCUGAUCCAGCAAUGCCGCGUGCAGGAUUAAGGCCUUCGGGUUGUAAACUGCUUUUGUACGGAACGAAAAGCCCCGGGUUAAUACCCUGGGGUCAUGACGGUACCGUAAGAAUAAGCACCGGCUAACUACGUGCCAGCCGCCGCGGUAA
rnacentral:rRNA from 1 species